AAAAAAUAGCUUUGAGCUUUUCAUUGCGACAUGUUCAAUUGAAAAAUAUAUUUUAAGAUAAUGCAAACGAUAGUGUGGAUUACAUAACAACAAUAUCUUCAUAAUAUCCAGUCAGUAAUAUCUAUGUUUUUUAAAUAAGCCGUCAGUAGGAGUUUCAGUAAUACUAAUUUUGUACAAAGAAACAAAUCACUAACAAGUUUAACGAACAACGAACACUCUGAAAACAAAGCAAAAAUCUACAAAAAUCAAAUUAAACAACUAUAGUAAAUUUUUUUAAGUUCUAAUACAGUCAGCUCUCCUAUAACGCGAUAUUCCUUCAAUCCCAGUGAGCACAAGUACGUUUUGUAAA